rfam:Camelus ferus unplaced genomic scaffold scaffold743, whole genome shotgun sequence.
GUCGGUAUAGCUCAGUGCUAGAGCGCAUACUUAGCAUACAUAAGGUCCUGGGUUCAAUCCCCAGUACCUCCA